CUUUGAGUUACAGGCAGAAAAAAUAUCCUGUAAAUACCGUUGACUUACAUGGUAACUACACCAAGGGUUUACUUAGUGAACAAUCACUAACUAUAGCAUAAUUACACAUCCCUGCAGAUUACUGCAGAAUUGUGUCACUGAGCAGGCAGUGACCACCAAACUGAAUUUCUGGCUGUGGGAAGGGCUGGGAAAUAAGGGCGUUAGCCCACAUUUAGUAGGAAUUUAUGUCUAUUUCUUCAAAUUAUCAAUUAGCCUCUCUAUUCCGAGGAGUCUUUCCAUUUUAUCUCCAUCUCACAAGCUCCAGGCAAGUGUGUGCUGGUUGCAGUUUUCAGCUGAUACAGGUUUAGGCCAUGCAGUAUCUGGGGGUACUCACAAAGCCCUCAGACAAGCAUGAGGCUAGUGAUUAACUUCUCCAUUAUCGUAAUGGGAUACACAUUCAGCAGCAGGGCUGAAGGGCACCGAGCCAUCUUCACUUUGUCCUGGUGACCGAUGAUUCAACAGCUGUCCAGGCCAAAAAUGAAGCUGACUGGACCACCCACGUUGGGAAGACUAUUCUGGUCGUUCUAGUGGGAAAUGGUGGGGUUCAGUUUUAGAAUACUUUCUCAAGAACUUCACGUUGCUUCUUACUCCCAUCUGGAGUGGUGUGAGUGUCUCUAGGGAGACUGGUGCUAAGGCUGAUAGUAUGCAAAGAAGUUAAGUGGUCUGACCUUGACCACAGCGCUGGCAACAGAAGUCACAUUUGCACUGGGGGUCUGUGGUCCCUGAGAAUUCUGACCAACUGGUCCCUUUGGGAUUAGGGGAUCAGAAUUGGCUGGCAGCUGGGAGCUGGGGCUUCUCUGUUUGUGUCGGGUUGCAGCUGAAAUAGCCAUCAAGGUAUCACUUGCAUCAGGCUGGGUGUGGGGGGAAGGGAGGUGGGAAUAAAGGGGGCAGAGAUAUGUGGAUACUGAAUGAACAUGUGUUGUACACCAAUUUUUAAUCCAUCGCCGACCUCUUCUAGUUGAUUUCUUUCAUAUAAUCUCCCUUCCCCCUCUCACCUGUCCAGAGACGAUCAAAUAAAAACUUAAGCCUGCCGGGCGGUGGUGGCGCACGCCUUUAAUCCCAGCACUCGGGAGGCAGAGCCAGGCAGAUCUCUGUGAGUUCGAGGCCAGCCUGGUCUCCAAAGCGAGUUCCAGGAAAGGCGCAAAGCUACACAGAGAAACCCUGUCUCGAAAAAGAAAAAAAAAAAAAAACUUAAGCCUAAUACACCUCUAGUCACAGACCCCUGGGUUUCCACAGACCCUAAAACAAAUGCCUCCUCUUUAAGAACAGAUAUUGCAUGGGGGCAAUGGUGACACACACCUGCUUUUAAUCCCAGCACUCGGGAGGCAGAGGCAGACGGAUCUUUGUGAGUUUGAGGCCAGCCUGGGCUACAGAGUGAGUUCCAGGCCUACACAGAGAAACUCUGUCUCCAAAAAGAAAAAAGAAAAAACAAAACAAAGCAAAAAUCAAAAAAACAAAGCAAAACAAAAAACAACCCAGGUAUUGCCUAGAGAAUCCUGAUUCUUUGCAACUGCUGUUUGAAUCCUCUCAUUCUCCCUGGCUCCGGCGUAUGGUAGGCUGGGUAGCUAUCCAACUAGAGUGAUAUCUUGCCCUCACCCGAAGAAGUGGUCUACUUUAACAAGAAGCAGAGCUUCAGUACCAAUCACUGGCUGGGAGGGAAGGCGACUGGAACCAAAGGAAGAGAAAUAAGAGUAUAACCAAAAGCACACUGCCCUGGUAAGCACUGGCCACUGGGCACGAGCUCAGUUCUGCCUAGGAGAAAAAGAUGUUAGCUGCAAAGGAUGGGUUUAGGAAGCAAUUUGUGUCUUAAAAGUUUACAGUGUUCAGCCUGGGCUGCAUGGUCAAUUUAAAGCCAGUUUGGGAGACGGUGAAAUUAUGUCUCAAAUGGAAUAACAAACAGCAAAGCUGCCGACCUGUGGCUGUGGCUCUGUCGGUAGACUGUCUCCCUAUUGUGCUGCAGGUUUGAAGAUGCCAGGAGUUCUAUCCGCAGCACUGCAUAAGCCAGGUGUGUGGGCACAUGCUGGUAACCUUAGCAUUGAGGAGGGUCAGAAGUUCGAGGCUGUCCUCAGCUACAUAGCAAGUUUAAAGCCAGCCUAUACUAUAGGAGAUUCUGUUUUUUUAAAAAAAAUAGUAUUUGAUCCAGACAUGGAGGCAUAUGUGCUAUAAUCUCAGCACUUAGUAGGCAGAGCCAGGAGGAUCACAAUUUCAAGGACAGUCCAGGCUACAUAGUGUAACCCUGACCUCCUCCCCACCAAAGCAAAGAACUUUAAGGUUUGGGGUGCAGUGCUGAGAUUCCUGAGACAUGUUUUUACAGUGACUUUGAGAACUACAAGUGCAUGCUACUUUCCAGGGACCUGUGAGAUCCUACUGAGAUGUGGGUGAUGAUAACCAGGAGCCCUUAAGCCCAGAGAUGUUUCUCAGGGCACCAAGCCCCUUGCAGCUCCUUGGCAGCCACAGAUGUGGGUACUUAUACUUAGAGCUCCAGGAGGGUUGUGGGUAGGAAGAGGGAUUCCCUCUGGUCAGGAAGGAUGAAUGAACUAUAAUAAAUAACGUUAACAGUGAGGAAGACUAAAGAGGUUAUUGUGUGCCAGGUGUAGCUUAGCUCCUUGAUGAUCCAUCCAUACAUUAGCUCUUUAAAGAAAAAUGGACCCACUGCCAGAGGGCAGAGCUGUCCUCAAAGUAAGAGGAAGAUCACCAUUCACAGUCCCACUCUGUGUCUUCUGGGAGCAUUAGCUGGAAGGUCAAGUACCGUUUCCAGGUGUGGAAGAUAGAAAUGAGUGGGAAAGGUCGCUGCAGGGAUUUGAAUACAUAGACGUCUUCAGGGAGUCAGCUUCAAGGUGUAGACUGGGGUGCCGCAACUCGAGUGGAGAUAUCACUGAACUGUGAGCGAGCUAAAGAAAGGAUGGACUUCCUCACAUGUAUAAACAUGUGCAGGAUCAUAUGUGUACAUACAUGCCUACCUGCGUAUCACCUGGUACUUAAAGACUUCUGAACUACUAAGAAAAGACCAACUAUCUCAAGCACAAGGAACUAUUUCAAGAGAUGCUCCCACAUGACAGUCUUCUGUAAGCCUCUGCUUUGUCUUUGUUUUGUUUUGUUUGAAACAGGAUCUCUCUAUAUAGCCCUGGUUGUCCUGGCAUUCACUAUGUAGGCCAGGCCAGUUUCAAACUCACAGAGACCCACCUGUCUCUGCCUCCCAAGUGCUGGGAUUAAAGGAGCGCACCGCCAAGCCCGGCUUCUGUAGGCUUCUUGGUCAGCUAACCCAAGCCUGGGAUGUUGGAGGAAGAUGGAUGGAGCAGGAUGAGGAAGAGCACACCUUCAAGGGUUUUCCAGUGGACUCAAGAUCUGCUCUUGGUUCUCCAGACUUAAUCAUGUCCAAGGCAAGGGACAUGUAUGUGGGAAGGUCUGGGACAGGGGACAUCAGAUUCAGAGCCCGACAGUAGGUGUUUUUCUAGUACUGAUCUCAAGGAUUCCAAACUAGUUUAUUUGGAGUAUAGAAGAACAGGAGCUUUGGAGCCAGGAAGCCUAGGGUGGAAUUCUGUCCUUUUCUGCUUAUUAGCUCCCCAUCUAUUCCUUUACUCAAUACAUAUUUAGUGAAAGGCAGCAUGUACUAGGUGUGUGUCCUCUUUGGGGCAAGCUGCUUAACUCAGCUACUUUUAAUUCCCUUAUCUCAAAGGUAAGGAAAUGUAACUACAUAUCACAGUUGUACACACAGUUGACACUUGAUAAAUGCUUGAAUGUUCCAACUAUAACUUUCUAAUAAUGUCUUUCCUUGUUGAUAUUUCCCUCCAAAUGUAACUCAUCUAAAUUUUGGGGAAUUUUGUAACAUCCCAGAGGAUCACCACUUCCUAGAGGUGACAUUAACAGUGGGUGAGGACGUCACUCUUCUCUGGCACAAGACAGCGUGGUAUAGGUUCAACCCUGGGUCGUCUCUCUCUAGGCUGUGAGUCCUCCAUGGGCUGAGACUGUGUCUUCAUGGUAUAGGUUCAACCCUGGGCCUUCUCACUCUAGGCUGUGUGAGUCCUCCAUGGGCUGAGACUGUGUCUUCAUGGUAUAGGUUCAACCCCGGGCCUUCUCUCUCUAGGCUGUGAAUCCUCCAUGGGCUGAGACUGUGUCUUCAUGUGUUCAGCAUGGUGGCCAUAGUAUGUGUGGCAGUGCCACAGAAAACCAGAUAUGGGACUCAAGAGAUAGCUCAGCAGUUAAGGGUAUGUACUGCUCUCUCAGAGGAUCCAAACUUGGGUCCAGCACCCACAUCUCAUAACCACCUGUAACUCCACUUUUAGGGACUCUGAUGUCCUCUUCUGGCCUCAGUGAGCACCUACACUGUGCACACCCACACCCACACACAUCCACACACAGAUACCUUUAAUUAAAAAGAAAAAAAAGCAGAGCUGGGCAGUGGUGGCGCACGCCUUUAAUCCCAGUACUCGGGAGGCAGAGGCAGGUGGAUCUCUGUGAGUUUGAGGCCAGCUUGGUCUACAGAGUGAGUUCCAGGGCAGCCAAAGAUUCUAGACUGGUGGUCCUACAGGUCUCUCAUUGCUUCAUUCAACAAAUAUACUAUCACCUUCAGUACCCCUAGGGCUCUAUGCCAGGUGCUGGGGAAUAUAAUGAGUAAAACAGACUGGGCCCCUGCCUUCGUGGAGCUCAGAGCCAGUGGGAGAAGAUAGGCUAUGAUCAAAUAGUUGAAAAAGGAAGCAAAUGAUGCUAAGAAAAUGUAUUUAUAAGCAUAUAUGCAUAUUUUAUAUGUGUGUAUUUAUAAGCAUAUAUGUAAAAAGGAGGGUACAGUGGUUGGAGUGAGAAUGUCCGCUAUAGGCUCAGGUGUUUGAACACUUGGUCCCCAGUUUGUGGCACUGUUUGGGGAGGUCUAGGAGGCGUGGCCUUGUUGGGGAAAGGCUCUACCCCCUGGAGGUAGACUCUGCAUCAUUGCUAGUUCUCUCUCUUUCUGCCUUGUGCCUGUGGUGAAGGAUGGAAGUUCUCAGCAGUGCGCUUCUGAAGCCAUGCUUGCUGCUUGCUGCCAUGUCUCCCAUCAUGGUGGACUCUCACCCUCUGGAACUACAGGCUCAAAUAAGUUUCUUAUAUAAGUUGCCUUGGUCAUGGUGUUUUAUUAUGGCAACAGAAAAGUAGCUAAUACAAGAGGGGGUGCUGACCAAGUCUGAGUAAUCACAAGGUUUUUCCAAAGUGCAACAUGUCUGCAGACAUCUGUACUAGGAGCUGGAGUUAAGGCCAGGUUGGUAGUGCUGCAAUUUUUUUUUUGUUUGUUUGUUGUUGUUUUUUUUUGAGACAAGGUUUCUCUGUGUAGUUUUGUGCCUUUCCUGGAACUCACUUUGUAGACCAGGCUGGCCUCGAACUCACGGAGAUCCACCUGCCUCUACCUCCUGAGUGCUGGGAUAAGGGUGUGCGCCACCACUGCCCGGCCAGUGCUGCAAUUGUUCAGGGAAGUCUUUCCUGGUGACUGCUUCUGUUGUGGCACAUUUAGAUCUCCAGGAAAGGCGAACGUGACUGGAACAUGGUUUGUAACCAUGAACACUGAGCAAAGAAGCUGGAGGGUAAGUUCUGGACUUUCUCUCAAGAGCAAGAGGACACCACUGCAAUGCUUUAAGUUCAGAGACAGUGAUGGUGCUGAGUUCUCUAGGCAACAGAUGGCAGUGACCUUGGAGUGGGGUGGGAAGGGUGAUGGGAGAGACUAGAAUGGACAAGCUCUCUGUUCGCCAGUGAGUUGAGAAGGCUCACUGAUAGUUGGGACCUACAAUUGCAGAUGGAGAUGAGGCAGGAGCACAGCUGACUCUCAGGUUUGGGUUUUUGUGUUGGUUUUGUCUUUUUGUUUUUCAAGACAGGGUUUCCUUGUGUAGCCCUGGCUGUCCAGGAACUGGCUCUGUAGCCCAGGCUGGCCUCGAACUCAGAGCUCCACCUGCGUCUGCCUCCCAGUGCUGGGACUAAAGGUGCGCGCCAUCGAUGCCCUAGUUGACUUCUGGGUUUGUAAACUUGUUCUGAGCGUUUAUCUGCUCCUUGAAGACUUUUGGGAAAGGUUUUCCUUCCUGGUCAUUGGUGCAUUUAGUUCUGAUGCCUUCCGAGGUGAGUGGAUUUCCAUUUCCAGAGGAUGAAGAAAUGAUCAAAAUCCCUGCUGAACCUGGGAGGCAUUGAGAAGGUCAUUUCCCCUAAAGCAACCCCUUGUUAUUCAGGCACUCACAUUCAUCUCCCCAACUCACCCAAACCCAAACAUGCAUCCUCUCCCUCUGACCUCUCAGACCUACAGACUUCCCAGCACUCCCCACAGGCCACUCCAUUCUGCCCCUAUUCAGCCUCACCUCCCCAAAGCUCCUGCACCCCCCUUUCUCCUCUCUCCUCCCGACCUCCCCCUCAUUCUGGCCCCAGCUCCCCUCUGCCUCCACUUCACCCUAUUAAGAAACAACCACCCCACAGAAGCCUCUGCCCCUGGCGGCUGCUCCCUGAGCCCCGCCCGCCCUCCCUCCUCCUGCUCCUCUUCCUGACAGAUGCCUCAGAGCCCCGGGCCGCAGUUAAGGUGACGAGAUGCAGCAAUUCUUUAUGAACAUUUCAUUCCUGCUCGCUACACGACGUAAAUUAGAUGGUGUGUUACAUUCGGGCAAUAAGAGAGAUAUGUCACCACGACGCUGGCCCAUUGGAUGGAGAGGGUAAUCCUGCCGUGAAUUUCAUUACUGCUUUUAUAUAGACAGAAUUAGCUCGGUGACAGCGAGCCUGAUUGUCUUUCACUAGGGGUUUGGCGAAGAGCUGAAAGGAUUUCACCCUGAUGUGCACACUACUGAGUGACCCCGCUUACCAGCGGCUCUGCUGAUUGCUUUGCACCUUGCAGACUCCGCAACUGGCUCAGCCUCUUGCCCGCCUCACUCCCUCCGGGCCUCCAGCCCGCCCCGCCCUGCCUGGCUUUCUCUCGAAGCCAAAGCCAGAAGACCUAACAGAGGAGUCACAAGGUCAUGAAGGGAUGUGUCGGUGGGGAGGAGAAGGGUGGCAGAGCUAAAACCAAAAUAAAACAAAACUCCUUCUGUGACUAAGCUCUCCUGGCCGGGGCCUAGGGUCCUCACUCUCACCACUCCCAUGAAUGGGUAAGAAAGCCCAUGGCCCUCCAGGCGGGAGCUGGUGCAUCCUCUUAGGUGUCCCCAGCAGAAACUGCAGAGCUUUCUUUGGGUUCCUGCCUCUUGGCCUCCUGUUUCUGUAGGAGAUUCUCUUACUUGCACUUUCUCCUUGUACCCGAUUAAGUCACUCUAACCCCACAUGUAACACUCAGAUGAUGUUGAGUAGAUGGCCCCAAACUAGCAGACUGCAAAACUGGACCAAGGAUUUCCUUCCUAGGUCUUUGCCGUGGGAUGGCUGCUCCUGGGAGAGCCAGUGGAGCCCCUCCCUAGUACUCUGCUUUCUGUCCACUCCCUUCCUCACCCGUGUUGACCCCUCAGCCAUAGCCUUUGCCAAGGCCUUUCUGAAGCAGCUGUCUGCUCCUGGGGUUGGCCAGGGACACGGACCAUCACUGGGACCCUGAUCACCACUUUAGUUCUUUCCAGAAGCCCCCAGAAAGAUUCUCUGAGAUUCUAUUCUUUGAGGGCUAAGGGACCAGGCCUGGAGCAGACAGCAUAAUCUCCUCAAAGCUUCUUUUUCUUUUGGUCAACCCGACAAUUCUGUCAGGAAAGCUCUCUCUCGUGACCCAGAGCAGUGAGGGCUGUGGCUGGGUUGGAAGGCAUUAAGGUCACAGUGUCCACUUUCCAGUGGGGGAGGGGAUUUCCGGAGCUCAGCAGAGGUCCGAGGUGGGUGUGUGGGUGCUAGAGGCCUGAAGUAGGGUCUCUACAUGCUGACAAGUUUCCUAGGGACAGCCAAUUGAAUUUUCCUCUCAGUUGCUGUCCUUACUUGUCCUCCUGCCUGUGGUCAUAUCUUUUUCCCAGUACAACUUGCCCCUCUGGGCCCUGUCACUUCCCACCAGGUCAGGACAAAUCUGAAGGGCCUGUGAUAGGUUAAGGCCUUUUUGGAGACCAAGCCAGCCUAACUUUUCCCUCUUUGCGGUCCUGCUUCUUUCUAGCUUCAUCAUCAUCAUCACCAUCACCAUCAUCAUCAUCAUCAUCACCAUCAUCACCAUCAUCAUCACCAUCAUCAUCACCAUCAUCAUCAUCAUCACCAUCAUCAUUAUCAUUUUAUAUGGAUGGGUGUUUUGCCUAUACCACAUUAUUUGUUUACCACAUGCAUGCCUGAUGAGGCCAGAAGAGAGUGUUGGAUCCCCUGGAACUGGAGUUACAGGGGGCCACCAUGUGAAUGCUGGGAAUUAAGCCCAGGUCCUCUGGAUGAGCAGCCAGUGCUCUUAAAUGGUGAGCCAUCUCUCCAGCCCUUCUUCCCAGUUUUAUCUCAGCACAGUAUGGUAGAAUUUUUGCACAGAAUGCUUCAUUUUGAUCAGCUUUCAGAUCCAACCUGAAAGCAGUUCCUGUCCUAUGCACUAAUGGGGCCACCACAGGAUGAAAGUGUGUAAAAUAUAGUUCCCUGGGAGAUACAGCUGCUGCCUUUGGCCAACAAGGUUAACAUUGCGAUUGUCAUCAUCGUCACAGCUGGCCCCACUCAGCUGGUACAGCAGGGGUCAGCAUAUAGAUAAAUGCCCAGCUUUCUUGCUUUACCCUAAGGACAAGGUCCUCUAUAUUUUGUACUUUAUCUCUUUAUCAGAAUGACCUUCUCAAUUGACCAACUUGUUCAGGAAGACAGCCAUGGUCUCAAGGAUUUAGGGGUUUGAACAGUUCUGCAGUUCUGUUACCCACUUCUCAUUCUUAAUUUAGUUUGUUUUGGUUUCUGAGACAAGGUUUCAUGUAGCCCAGGCUGGCUUUGAAAUCGCUAUGUAGACAAGGAUGAGUUUGAUUUCCUAUCGUCCUGCCUCAACCUCCUGAGUGCUGGGGUUACAAGGGUGAACUACCACAGUUUCAUGCAAUGCUGGAGACUGAAGCCAGGUCUUCCUGCAUGCUAGGCAAGGACUCUACUUACUGAGCCACACCCCCAGCAGUGGGUGGGGAAAAGAAAGACCAGUAAGUCAAACCCAUGGCAUCCUUCCUUCUACACUCUAUGGGUGUGUUCCUGGUUGGCUUCCUAAGCAUGCACUUUCCUCACAGGGACCAAAGCUUCCAUCACUGCAGUGGAGGUAGAGCAGGCUCCCAAGGAAAGCCUGAGGGCGGAGUCUCCUCUGUUUUAACUAUAAUUCCUCCUCCACCUUGUCUGCAGAGCCAGGAAACGAUGGGCCAGUCAGAUAGCUCAGCAAGCAGGUGAAAGCGAUUACUCAGUGUCCUCUGUUUGAUGUCCUUCAGAACCCCAUAAAGGUAGAACAGAGAGAACUGAUUCCACCAGGUGCUCCUCUGACCUCCACAGAGCAUUAUGGCACAUGCCCCUUUCCUCACAAUAGUGACAUGACUUAAAAAGUUUUACAUUAAAAAAUUCUAAGAUCUCUUUCUCCCAGGGGAUAGGGAAGAGGGUGGCAGUGGCCACAUUACUGUUACUCUUCUAUGUGUCUCCUCUUGGUCUCACAGCCUUUCAGCCCUUUGGAAUGAAUGGCUGGUGGAGGCCUUGCCAGAGGAGCCAGAUCUCUGCCCUCCCCAGGACUUGCUCCCAGGCUUUUCUGGAAGCCAUGAUUUUCUGAAAGGCAAAGGCCUAGGUCUUUUGCUCUGGAGCUUUUGGUGCAAGGCUACAGAUGCUGAGCAGAGUCAGGGAGCUGGGGGAUGGAGUUUCUCACCCUACCCCCACCCUCUUCUGACGUCACAGCCCUCACUUCCUGACACUAAUUGGUUGCCUUGGAAACAAGUUCCUUAAAAAGCAGGAUGACUGGAUGUGGUGGGAGGGAGAGCCACAGGAGACAGCCUUGUCACAAAGAAUCUACAGAGCCCCUCAGAAUCAAGCAGAGCUUCCCAGAGUUGCUCUCCUCCUUGGAACACAUCUCCGGUAUGGAGGAAGAGAGUUGCCAGCUUAGGGAAAUGCUGUGGGCAUUGAUGGUCCACAUUUUUUUUUUUCUUUUUUGAGACAGGGUUUCUCUAUGUAGCCCUGGCUAUUCUAGAACUCAAUCUGUAGAUCAGGCUGACCUUGAACUCACAGAGAUCCACCUGCCUCUGCCUCCUAAGUGCUGGGAUUAAAAGCGUUCGCCACCACUGCCCAGCUGGCCCACAUUUCUUAACGGGACUAUACAAGGGUAGUCUAGUUCACCAUGCCUGCCAUUUCCUGCUUUAUUUGAGGGUACAUUGCUUUUGAGUGGGGAGAUCAUAUUGCAAAGUCAGAGUCCAAGGCAAAAAAAGAAAAAGGAGGAGGAAAAAAGGAAGGAAGGAAUGAAGGAAGAAAGGAAGGAAGAAGGGAAGAAAAGAAACAAACAAAAAUACAGUCACUAACUCUGGAACAAGUGGAUAUCAGAAGUGAUAGGGGCUUGCUCUUUCAGCGCCAGAUCAGAAGUGAUCUCUUCUAAAGAACUGUCAUUAACUAGGCAAUCUCCCACCCACCCUCAUCUGCGCGCGCGCAAACACACACACUUCACCAUUUACUACAGAGCUUACACAUAUUUUUUCAAUAAACACUUACCCAUCUUUGCUAUGUCAUAGAAUCUGCACCAAUCCCAGGGGAUAAGACCAUGAGCAGACAGGGCUCUUAAAGGAGCGCACCACCUCUCACAAGUUGUCCUCUGACUCCCACAUGUGUACCUUGGAACGCAUGACACCCCCAUAAAUGAAUGCACGUAAUAAAAAAAAAUUUGAGACAGCGUCUCUCUACAUAGCCCUAGCUGUCACUAAAACUCACUAUCCAGGCUGUCCUCAAACACAGAGAUUUACCUGUUUCUGCCUCCCGAGUACUUGGAUUAAAGAUGUGUGCCACUGUUGCCCAGCUCAUAAUAAAAAAAAAAUUUUUUUCGAGACAGGGUUUCUCUGUGUAGUUUUGGUGCCUGGCCUGGAUCACGCUCUGUAGAUCAGGCUGGUCUCGAACUCACAGAGAUAUGCCUGGCUCUGCCUCCCAAGUGCUGGGAUUAAAGGCGUGCGCCGCCGCCGCCGCCGCCGCCGCCGCCGCCGCCGCCGCCGCCGCCGCCGCCGCCGCCGCCGCCGCCACCACCACCACCAGCACCACCACCCAACACAAAAAUAUUUUUUAAAUGAGUUAUUGGACUAGAGAGAUGGCUCAGUAGUUUAAAAACAUGCUGCUCUUCCAUAUGGUACAAACCCCACUAGCCUUUCAAGGACCCCAGGGUCUUUCUUCUUCUCUCAAGGCCAAGGCACAGAGGAGUGGAUAGGGCUUGAGGGUGAGAGACGAACCGUAUCCACUGCUAUGUGUCCUCUGGAGUUCAUGCACAGACACCAGACAUAGCCAUUCUUCUGUGCACUUAUGUCCUGAUGUCACACUUGUACACAUUUUUUGACCAGUAGCAGUCAUUUUGACUUCUUCUAAAUUGGCCAGUACAGAGGUAUGAGGAUGUGUGUGAUUCCACUUAUGAUCUCGAGAGUGAGCAUGUGUUCCGGAGAAGGAGGAUUUAGGGGUGUGUGUGUGUGUGUGUGUGUGUGUGUGUGUGUGUGUGUGUGUGCAUUUUCCAAAUGCUUGGCUUUUUUCAAAAUGGCUUGGAGCACUACUGUCAUUUAUGGGGUUUCAAAUGUCAGAACAGGGCCCGAGGGGAGGCAGGGGAGAUUAAACUGCAAGGUGAAGGUUAUAGAUGACGUUUCUGAUAGGCAGACAGGCAGACUCAAAUGAUGCUGCACUUUAGCAGUCGUUCACACACACACACACACACACACACACACACACACACACCACUAUAGUUCAUCUCCUCAUAUUUUAAUGGCGUAUUCUGAAAGCUAAAAAUCAUGAAAGUCUAUGUCUAAAAAGGCACAUCUCUGCUUUUAGAACCCACCAGCCGCUCUCUGUGGUUUGUGUCUAUACUCAAUGCACUUGCCUUCCUAAUACGUGUACUUGUUUUCUGUCUCUUUGCAUAUAAUAUCCUUUUUUUCUUUAUUUUUUGAUGAGGUCUCAAGUAGCCCAAGCUGACCUUGAACUUAAUACAUAACUGAGGAUGAUCCUGAACUUCUGAUUCUCCUUCUUUACCUUCCGAGUACUAGGACCUUAGGCAUUACCACCACACUCAGUUAUAUACUUCUAGGAAUAGAACUGAGGGCUUUGUGCACUAGACAAAAUACUCAGCCUGCUCAGCUAUCUCCCAGUCCCCUUUGUAUUAUUUAACUUGACCACAUUUCCACACAGCAUCCUAGCUUAAAACAUAGUAGAAUUAUGUAAUUAACAAUUUAUAUCAAGUCCGACUGUCUUCCUAAGCUUAUUAAUUUGUAUAAUGUAGUAGGUAAAGUUGAGAGUCCUAUUUUAUAAAGAUAAAGAAACUGAGGUCAAUGAGAUCUGAUGUGUUGGCAAGACCACCCAACUAGAAAUGGACAGGGAGGGCCUUGAAAUUCUUUUAAUACUGGUUUUUUUUGUUGUUGUUGUUUUUGUUUGUUUGCUUUUGUUUUUUGAGACAGGGUUUCUCUGUGUAGCCCUGCCUGUCCUGGCACUCACCCUGUAGACCAGGCUGGCCUCGAACUCACAGAGAAGUGCUGGGAUUAAAGGCAUGUGCCACCAUACCCAGUUCCUCCUCACUAUUUUUGAGAUGAGGUCUUCCUAUGUAGCCCAGGCUAGGCUUGAGUUCACUAUGUAGCCCAAGCUGGCCUUGCUCUUGAUCCUUCUGCCUCAGCUGCCCAAGAACUACAAUCAAUUACAGGCUUGUGCCACCAGGUGCAGCUUCCAGAGUCCGAAAUUUCCUGCAGGCUGCAGCUCUAACAUGGUUAGACACUAGAAGCAGCUGGGAAGUUGGAAAAGCCACAAUGCCCUGGGUCUCCUCACAGACACUCUGAUUCAAAGGUUCUGAGAAAUGCUUGCUGUGUGUUUAUUUUGUUUGCUCUGUUUGUCUGAGUUCUCUCUUGGCCCAGGCUGGCUGUGAACUCGCAGCCACGCUGCCUGGCUUCCCUAGAACUACAAGUGAGCAUGAUUCGUCGGGUUGUUGUCCUUUUGUUUUUGAGAGAGUCUUAUUCCGUUACCUCAGUAGUUUCAAAUUUACAGAGAUUCUGCUGUCUCAGCCUCCCCAUUGCAGGCCCGAGUUAACACGCCCAGCGUGUGGUCUGUUUUUAAAGGGCCAGUGACUCAGAAGGCAGGCUCACUUUGCCUUUUUGUGAAGGCACCAUCUCAUCUCCAUCCUCCUCAAUGGCUGUCUCUCCCUUUGCUUCUCUGUGGACUUUUUCUGCAUGCGGGUGUUGGAUCCCCUGGAAAUGGAGCUCCAGACAGUUGUGAGCUGCCGUGUGGGUGCUGGGAAUUGAACAUGGGUCCUCUGGAAGAACAGUUGGUGCUCUUAACCGCCGAGCCAUCUCUCCAGCCCCUCCUGCUCAGGAUGAUCAAUCCUUGUUUCUUCUACCCCAUCUACCUCCUUCCCCCUCCAAAGGCCUCAUUGCUUGUCUACCUCAGGCUGGUGAAUGAAGAAGUUGCUGUCUAGAUGCCCCUCAGGUGGCCGUCCUAAAUGGGUGAGACUUUUGCCCCAACCAAAAACGAAGGUAGAGUAUCAGUUCCACUUAGCCCUGUGGCCUGGAAGAAAGGGAAGUGAGAAGACUGGUAAAUGACUUAGGAGAGAAGAAUGGAGGAAAGGAAACCAGAGGAAGGAAGGAGAGGGGAGCUGGCUCCUUAGGAGACCACCCUAGCCGGGCGGUGGUGGCGCAUACCUUUAAUCCCAGCACUCAAGAGGCAGAGGCAGGAGGAUCUCUGUGAGUUCAAGGCCAGCCUGGGCUACAGAGUGAGUUCCAGGACAGCCAAGACUGUUUCACAGAGAAACCCUGUCUCGAAAAACAAAAACAACAACCAAAAACAAACAAAUAAAAGAGAGAAAGAGAGAGAGAGAGAGAGAGAGAGAGAGAGAGAGAGAGAGAGAGAGAGAGAGAGAGAGAGAGAGAGAGAGAGAGCACCUUGACAGCUAGGGCCCACAUGGAGUCCUCUCUUGCUUGACCCUCUACAAAACAGGCAAUGCCAAAGGUUAGCUGUAGUCUGCAGGGGCCUUGAAGCUUGUUUCUGCUCACUAGAUUUAAGAUGAUAAUGAUGGGCACUGGGCAUCCAUCGUCCCAGAAGGCAGAAGGCAGAGGCAGGUAGAUCUCUGUGAAUUUGAAAUCAGUGUGGUCUACACAGUGAGUUCCAAGAUAACCAGGCUGCAUGAUGAGACCUGGUCUCAAAACAAAACAAAACCACAAACAAAAAUAAAGAAUAGUACCAACAACAAAAAACUUACUGCCUUUUAUUUAUUUAUCCCAAGCCUAUUCUACUUCUAGUCUCCAUCUUCUUUGAAUCAUUCAGUCAGGGCAAAAAAUAUGAUGGUUGGGUUGGAGAGAUGGCUCAGCGGUUAAGAGCACUUGUUCUUGCAGAGGACCUGGGUUCAAUCCCAGCAUCCACAUGAUGGCUCACAACCAUCUCUAGUUCUAGUUCCAGAGGAUUAUCCACCUUCCCCAGGGCUUUGUGGACACCAGGCAUACAAGUAGUACCCAGGCCAAACAACCAUAUGCAUAAAGAAUAGAAUAGACCAGGCUAGGCCAGGCUAGGCUAGGAUAGGAUGGAAUAAUGCCCUCCCUGCUCUCCAGCCCCACCUCCUCCAGGAGCCCUGCCUCCUGAUCUUCAGCUGGAAAGGACAGCUCCUUCUUGUUGUCUUCCUGUGCCUUGCAGCUUUGAGUAGCUCUCACAUUGAUGUUUAUCUUCAUAGUCACGUGGCUGGAUUUAGAAUCCAGACUGAGUCACUCUUAAUGUGUGUAUGAGGGUGUGUCAGAGAGGAUUAACUAAGAGGAAAGUGAACAGUGGUGGCACUAUCCCUGUGAACCAAGAGGAAGAAGAAGGAAGAGCUGUAUGCUGGCAUCUGCUUCUUCCUGACUUCUGGCCCACUGUGAAGUGCAGAGCUCUGCUCGGAGGAACACUACCACCCCUACCUCAUGAUAGGCUGAACCCUCUGAGGCCAUGAGCAAAGUAAGUCUUUCUUCCUGAGAAUUACUUAUGUUGGGUAUUUUGGUCACAGUGACAAAAGCCAACUAACACCCUAUGUUCUGACUUGCCUGUUUUCAAAUCUGCCUCCCUCUCUGGACUGUGACCUCCUAGAAAGCAUGGACCUUGUCUUAUUCCUUAUGCAAGAAGACUAGACUCAGUCCUCUUGUGAGUUCACAGACCAUCCCCUCCCUUAGCUAAAGCCCUUGAGUAAGGAUGCUCUGGUUUCUGGACCUCAAAGGAUUAGUAUCACCCUUAUAGCCAAGGCAGAGAAGCUAAGUGUGAUGGUUUGAAAGAAAAUGGUCCCCAAAGGAAGUGGCACUAUUGGGAGGUGUGGCUUUGCUUCAGUGGGUAUAGCCUUGUUGGAGGAAGUGUGUCACUGUGGAGACAAGCUUUGAGGUCUCAUGUAUGCUCAAGAUACAACCUAGCGUUUUAGUCCACUUCCUGUUGCCUGAAAAAUGUAGGAAUCUCAGCUACUUCUCCAGCACCAUGUCUGCCUGCAUACUGUCAUAUCCCACCAUGAUAAUAAUGACUAAACCUCUGAACUGUGAGCAAGCCACCCCAAUGAAUUGUUUUUUUUCUUUAUAAGAGUUGCUGUGGUCAUGGUGUCUCUUCACAGCAAUAAAAACCCUAACUAAGACACUAAGUGUGAGGGAAGGGACCCAAAUCAGUCUCUGGCCAGACACUGGAUUUGCCUGAGUGAUGCUGGGUGCCCAGGCCCAGCUCUGACUUCUGCAGCGCUGAGACCCAUUCCUGUCCUGAAGGAGGUGUAUGAGUGUUUUGCCUACAUGUGUGUCUGUGUACCACCUAUGUACCUGGUGACCAAGGAGUCAGAAGAGGACAUCAGAUCCCCUGUAACUGGAUUUAUGGACAGUUCUGACCCACUGUAUGGGUGCUGGAAACCAAACCCAGGUCCUCUGCAAGUUUUCUUGAUCACUGAGCUAUCUCUCCAGCUCCAGUAAGGCUGUGAGGAAAUCAAGUGAAAGGCUUGUGGCAGGCUUCCUGGCAGCUGCAGCCUGAAUGGGGCUUCCCAGGGCAGACCUGGUCGUACGAUGGGCCCCUCUCUGGUAGAGACUCGACUUACAUGGUUGGCUGAGAGUUUUGGAAAGCCCUGCUCAAGAGUGAAACCUGGGUAUGUGGUGCUUCACACCUGUAAUUCCAACACUGAGGAUCCCUGGGUCUUGCUGACCAGCCAGCCUUGCCCACUUGGUGAGAGUUUUAGGCCAGUGAAAGACUGUGUCUAAAAAGAAUAUGGUUUGAGAAAUGACUUCCAAGACUGUUCUUUGGCCUCCACAUGCAUUCACACACACAUAUGUAUACACGCCUGCACACAUGACCAUAUACACAUAAAAAUAAGUUCAAAGUUGUUCUCAGCUACGUGACAAAUUUGAAGACAGCCUGAGUUCCAUGAACAUAAAACGAAGUUCUCAAACAUAAAACGAAGGGCCAGUGAGAUGAUGCAACAGAGGAAGAACUUGUCACCAAGUCCAAUAACUGGUGUUAGAUCCCUGGGACACACAUGGUGGAGGUAGUGGCAGGUUGUUCUCUGUCCUCCACACAUGUGCACACACACACACACACACACACACACACACACACACACACACACACUCUUAAUUAAAAAUAAAAUAAAUAGCUAUAUUUUUUUUGGUUUUGGUUUGUUUGAUGUGUGUGUGUGUGUGUGUGUGUGUGUGUGUGUGUGUGUGUGUGUGUAUAACCUUUAUUUUAUAUUCAUUGGUAUUUUGCCUACAUGUAUGUGUGAGGGUUUCAGAAGCGCUGAAACUGGACUUUAAAUAGCUAUAUUCUUGUUCUUUCUGUUGGCCCAUCUAUCCCUAGCCACAGGAUCACUGGACAGAGAUGGCGCCCAUGCAGAAAUACACUCACGGCUGGAGAGAUGGCUAGGUGGUUAAGAGCACUGGCUGCUCUUCCAGAGGACCUGGGUUCAAUUCCUAGCACCCACAUAACAGCUCACUGUCUGUAACUCCAGUUUCAGGGGAUCUGACACACUCACACAGACAUACCAUACAUUCAGGCAAAACACCAGUGCACAUAAAAUAAAAACAAAUUAAAAAAAAUACAUUCACUCACGAGGAUACAAGAAAUCCUUUGUGUUCAUACCACUGUUGGACUCCCAGGAAGUAAGAGUCUGUAAGAAAGGCAUAAAGACUUUCCUAAGAAGCUGCAAAUCCCCUUCCUGAUUUCCUGCUAUCUCCUCCCAGCCUCCAACCCCCGCUUCUCCCUCCAUGAUCACACCAUCCUUCCUCUAACCCCCUCCCUGAUGUAGAACAUUGUAGGUCUGAAGGGCAUGAUGGAAAUGGUAUGAUGGAUGGUCAGGAUUCUCCGCAUAGCUGAGCCCAGGGCAGAGCCAAUGCACAUCUGGCCUCAGGACACGCUUCUCCUACUUGGGGGUUGAGAAGUGAUUUUCAUUUUCCCUCUUUAAGAAUCACCUUUCACUCUAGUGAUCUGGUGUGGGCCUUAGAAUCUCUACUCAGUCACCAGCAAAAACUGCAGGAAUUCCACCAAUGAUUCUAAAGGCCACUUUCCUGCAAAGGUCAGCCUCUUCCUGAGAGGCAAGGGCCGUGUCUGACAAGGAAGAUCCACAUCUUCCUUAGCUUUGAUACCCAGAUGUUGACUUUCAGUCCUGGUGGUUUAAGUCCAGGAGUGUCGGUUGUUAUGUGUAUCAUCGAGAAGUAUGGAGACCCUUUCCCAAGGAACGUCUGGGCAUCCCCCAACCUCCCUGGGUUGCUCUCCUGGAAACCACGUGUCCUAGUUAAAGAUACUACUGCUAUGAUGAAACCCAUAACAAAAAGUAAGUUGGGGAGGAAAGGUGCUGUGGGAUGUUCUGUAUGGCAAAUAUGUUGCUAAUUAGUCAAUAAAUAAAACACUGAUUGGCCAUUGGCUAGGCAGGAAGUGUAGGCGGGACAAGGAGGAGAAUAAAGCUGGGAAGUGGAAGGCUGAGUCAGAGAGACACUGCCAGCUGCCACGAUGAGAAACAGCAUGUGAAGAUGCCGGUAAGCCACGAGCCAUGUGGCAAGGUAUAGAUAAAUGGAAAUGGAUUAAUUUAAGCUAUAAGAACAGUUAGUAAGAAGCCUGCCACGGCCAUACAGUUUGUAACCAAUAUAAGUCUCUGUGUUUACUUGGUUGGGUCUGACGGCUGUGGGACUGGCAGGUGAGAAAGAUUUGUCCUGACUGUGGGCCAGGCAGGAAAACUCAAGCAACAGAAAGGGUUUGUUUGGCUUACGUUUCCACAUCGUAGUCCCUCAUUGAAGUCAGGACAGGAACUCAAACAGGGCAGGAACCUGGAGGUAGAAACUGAUGCAGAGGCCAUGGAGGGGGUGCUGCUUACUGAUUUAUUUCUCAAAAUUUGCUCAGCCUGCUUUGUUAUAGAAUCCAGGACCUAGCCUAGGGAUGGUACCACCCACCAUAAGCUGGGUCCUCCCCCAUCAAUUCCCAAUUAAGAAAAUACCCUACAGGCUUGCCUACAGCUCAAUCUUUGUUAUUUUUAAUUAAAUUUUUUCAUUUAUUUUACAUUCUGACCAUAAUUUUCCCUUCCUCCUCUCCUCCCAUCCCCUCCCUGAGCCUCACCUCUGCUCCCCACCUCAUACACUCCUCCUCUGUUUCUGUUCAGAAAGAGGCAGGGCUCCCAUGAGUGUCAACAAAGCAUGUCAUAUCAACUUGAGGUAAGACUAAGCUCCUCCCUUCGUUUUAAGGCUGGGAGAGGCAACCCAGUAUGGGGAAUAGGUUCCCAAAAGCCAGCUCAAGCAUUAGGGACAGGCCCUCAUCCCAUCACUAGGAGUCCCACAAUUAGACCAAGUUAUAUAACUGUCACACAUAUGUAAAGGGCCUAGGUUGGCCCCAUGAAAGCUCUCUAGCCCUACAGCCCAAUUUUUUUUUUUUUU